rnacentral:rRNA from 1 species
AUUGAACGCUGGCGGCAGGCCUAACACAUGCAAGUCGAGCGGAUGACGGGAGCUUGCUCCUUGAUUCAGCGGCGGACGGGUGAGUAAUGCCUAGGAAUCUGCCUGGUAGUGGGGGACAACGUUUCGAAAGGAACGCUAAUACCGCAUACGUCCUACGGGAGAAAGCAGGGGACCUUCGGGCCUUGCGCUAUCAGAUGAGCCUAGGUCGGAUUAGCUAGUUGGCGGGGUAAUGGCUCACCAAGGCGACGAUCCGUAACGGGUCUGAGAGGAUGAUCAGUCACACUGGAACUGAGACACGGUCCAGACUCCUACGGGAGGCAGCAGUGGGGAAUAUUGGACAAUGGGCGAAAGCCUGAUCCAGCCAUGCCGCGUGUGUGAAGAAGGUCUUCGGAUUGUAAAGCACUUUAAGUUGGGAGGAAGGGCAGUAAGUUAAUACCUUGCUGUUUUGACGUUACCGACAGAAUAAGCACCGGCUAACUCUGUGCCAGCAGCCGCCGUAACAC